rnacentral:rRNA from 1 species
UAGGGAAUCUUCCACAAUGGACGCAAGUCUGAUGGAGCAACGCCGCGUGAGUGAAGAAGGUUUUCGGAUCGUAAAGCUCUGUUGUUGGUGAAGAAGGAUAGAGGCAGUAACUGGUCUUUAUAUGACGGUAAUCAACCAGAAAGUCACGGCUAACUACGUGCCAGCAGCCGCGGUAAUACGUAGGUGGCAAGCGUUGUCCGGAUUUAUUGGGCGUAAAGCGAGCGCAGGCGGAAUUAUAAGUCUGAUGUGAAAGCCCACGGCUCAACCGUGGAACUGCAUCGGAAACUGUCAUUCUUGAGUGCAGAAGAGGAGAGUGGAAUUCCAUGUGUAGCGGUGGAAUGCGUAGAUAUAUGGAAGAACACCAGUGGCGAAGGCGGCUCUCUGGUCUGCAACUGACGCUGAGGCUCGAAAGCAUGGGUAGCGAACAGG